CGCUGCCUGCAACACCCCCCCCCCGCCCUCAAUCGCCCCCCAUUGCCGCGCAGCUCCCGCCUCCUGUUAGAAUAAGGACUAAAUAAACAGUUGUAACUCCAAACCUUGCGACUGCGAUCUUAUCCCGAUCCCACCCCUCCCCCUUUUCUCCCCCCUCCUUUUUUGUUGUUGCAACUUUGUAAGAUCCCGGGUAAGGUGCUGAGACUUUGGCUCCGUCCGAUUCCCUGUCUCUGGAUCCUUGCAGGGAAUCCCUGAGCCACAUUCUCUCUUCCCUCCACGCACGCUUGUGGGUCCUUUGGGCCCGACGCCCUCUCAGCCUUGGCCCCCCAGCUUACUCAUCUAUCCCGCCCCACUCCAUUUCCCCCAACCUGCACCGAGAAGACUUGCUGACGGUCACCCCGGUUUCUUGUCGACCGCAGAACCCGAAAGUUUGCAAGAGGAAGAGAGCGUGUGGCGAGCAAGCGGGCCAGGGGCAGCGGCAGCGGCGCCGGGGACCAUGGUGCUGCCGGCGCCUCCUCCGCGGGCGUGAAGGCGGCGCUCCCACUCCCUCCCGGGUCUCCGCGGUGUCCCAGGAGCUUUUGCUGACAAUUCCAGUUUCCAAACGAAACAUUUGGGCAAUGGUGAAGGCUUCAGUACCUUCUCACAUUUGCUGUCAACAAUGA
rnacentral:lncRNA from 1 species